GAGACUCUGUGCGCGUGCAUAUCAAUAAGCGGAGGAAAAGAAUACUAACAAGGAUUCCCUUAGUAACGGCGAGUGAAGCGGGAAGAGCUCAAAUUUGAAAUCUUCAAGGUUUUACCCUGACGAAUUGUAGUUUAUAGAAGUGUUUUUCUGUUAGUGGAGUUUGGCUAAAAGUUCUUUGGAAUAGGACAUCAUAGGAGGGUGAGAAUCCCGUAUUUGACCAUUAUUUUCAGCUGUGUGAUACACUUUCAAAGAGUCGGAUUGUUUGGGAAUGCAGUCCAAGAUGGGUGGUAAAUUUCAUCUAAAGCUAAAUAUUGGCGAGAGACCGAUAGCGAACAAGUACCGUGAGGGAAAGAUGAAAAGAACUUUGAAAAGAGAGUUAAACAGUACGUGAAAUUGUCAAAAGGGAAGCGUUUGACACCAGUGUUGUUUUCUCGAAAAUCAAUUAAAAAUGAUGGGAUUUUGUGUUGUAUUGACUUUAUCAGCUUUCUGCACUUUUUUCUUAUCUUUUUUAAUGCACUUUUCGUUUAACAAGUCAACAUCAAUUUCUUUUGUUGUAAAAGGGUUAUUGGAAGGUGGCUUUCUCUUCGGAGAAAGUGUUUAUAGCCUUUAACCUCUGCAAUCGGAGAGAUUGAGGUCUGCAGCGUAGAUCCUUCGGGGUUAGAUACAUUUGUGCUAAGUUAUAGUCUUUUAUAGACAACUUGUUGACUAUGAUUGAUCUUGUAGCUUACUCGCUUAUGCUAUUUUACCUACGCUUAGGAUGUUGAAGAUGUAGCACAUCAU
rnacentral:rRNA from 1 species